GACGAACGCUGGCGGCGUGCUUAACACAUGCAAGUCGAGCGGUAAGGCCCUUCGGGGUACACGAGCGGCGAACGGGUGAGUAACACGUAGGAACUUUCUUCAAGAUGGGCAUAUCCUCCCGAAAGGGGGUGCAAUUCCCAAUACGGCCGCAAGGUUAAAGUCGCAAGACGCUUGAAGUGAGGCCUGCGGACCAUCAGCUAGUUGGUAAGGUAACGGCUUACCAAGGCUAUGACGGUUAGCGGAUCCGAGAGGAUGACCCGCCACACUGGGACUGCGA
rnacentral:rRNA from 1 species